GACGAACGCUGGCGGCGUGCUUAACACAUGCAAGUCGAACGGAAAGGCCCUGCUUGCAGGGUACUCGAGUGGCGAACGGGUGAGUAACACGUGGGUGAUCUGCCCUGCACUUCGGGAUAAGCCUGGGAAACUGGGUCUAAUACCGGAUAGGAGCCAUUUUUAGUGUGAUGGUUGGAAAGUUUUUUCGGUGUAGGAUGAGCUCGCGGCCUAUCAGCUAGUUGGUGGGGUAAUGGCCUACCAAGGCGGCGAUCGGUAGCUGGUCUGAGAGGGUGGACGGCCACACUGGAGCUGAGGCAGGGGCCAGAGUCCUACGGGAGGCAGCAGGGGAGAAGAUUGGACGAUGGGCGGAAGCCGGAGCCAGCCAUGCCGCGUGUGUUAAGAAGGUCUUCGGAGUGUAAAGCACUUGAAGUUGGGAGGAAGGGCAGUAAGUUAAUACCUUGCUGUUGUGACGUUACCAACAGAAUAAGCACCGGCUAACUUCGUG
rnacentral:rRNA from 1 species